UCUCCAUAGCUAUGCUAUCUC
rnacentral:snRNA from 1 species